rnacentral:rRNA from 1 species
AAUCAACGCUGGCGGCGUGCCUCAGACAUGCAAGUCGAACGAUUAAAGCUCUCUUCGGAGAGUGUAUAGAGUGGCGCACGGGUGAGUAACACGUAAGUAAUCUACCCUCGAGUGGGGAAUAACAACCGGAAACGGUUGCUAAUACCGCAUAAUGCAGCGGCACCGCAAGGUGACAGUUGUAAAGNUUUAUCGCUUGAGGAGGAGCUUGCGGCAGAUUAGCUAGUUGGUAGGGUAACGGCUUACCAAGGCUACGAUCUGUAACCGGUCUAAGAGGACGGUCGGUCACACUGACACUGAAUAACGGGUCAGACUCCUACGGGAGGCAGCAGUCGGGAAUUUUGGGCAAUGGGCGAAAGCCUGACCCAGCAACGCCGCGUGAAGGAUGAAGUAUUUCGGUAUGUAAACUUCGAAAGAUAGGAAGAAUUAAUGACGGUACUAUUUA